CGCAAGCAGCUUCGCCAGGACUCGCUUCACACAAGCUUCACCACCGCGGCCUAUGGCAGCCACCAGAACGUUUUCAUCCGCCUCGACCCGCUCGGACGGCCACCGAGUGCCACCGGCUCCUACGCGACCAUCGCCAGCCUCAACAAAUACCCCGGGGAGACCAAGAAGUCGUGCAGCAUCUUCGACCGUUUCCGCAGCUCCCCCAUCCCGACGCCCUACGCCACCGCCCUGCUGCCGAUGGGGGAC